CAUUAGAUGGCUGAAAGUAAGUAAUGGUCUCUUAAACCAUGCUAUAGUAUUUAACGUAUACUUUUAAUGA
rnacentral:tRNA from 1 species